rnacentral:rRNA from 1 species
CAGGCCUAACACAUGCAAGUCGAACGAUGCUUUCGGGCAUAGUGGCGCACGGGUGCGUAACGCGUGGGAAUCUGCCCCUUGGUUCGGAAUAACAGCUAGAAAUGGCUGCUAAUACCGGAUGACGACGUAAGUCCAAAGAUUUAUCGCCUAGGGAUGAGCCCGCGUAGGAUUAGCUAGUUGGUGUGGUAAAGGCGCACCAAGGCGACGAUCCUUAGCUGGUCUGAGAGGAUGAUCAGCCACACUGGGACUGAGACACGGCCCAGACUCCUACGGGAGGCAGCAGUGGGGAAUAUUGGACAAUGGGCGCAAGCCUGAUCCAGCAAUGCCGCGUGAGUGAUGAAGGCCUUAGGGUUGUAAAGCUCUUUUACCCGGGAUGAUAAUGACAGUACCGGGAGAAUAAGCCCCGGCUAACUCCGUGCCAGCAGCCGCGGUAAU